rnacentral:rRNA from 1 species
AGUUUUCAGAGAUGAGAAUGUGCCUUCGGGAACCGUGAGACAGGUGCUGCAUGGCUGUCGUCAGCUCGUGUUGUGAAAUGUUGGGUUAAGUCCCGCAACGAGCGCAACCCUUAUCCUUUGUUGCCAGCGGUCCGGCCGGGAACUCAAAGGAGACUGCCAGUGAUAAACUGGAGGAAGGUGGGGAUGACGUCAAGUCAUCAUGGCCCUUACGACCAGGGCUACACACGUGCUACAAUGGCGCAUACAAAGAGAAGCGACCUCGCGAGAGCAAGCGGACCUCAUAAAGUGCGUCGUAGUCCGGAUUGGAGUCUGCAACUCGACUCCAUGAAGUCGGAAUCGCUAGUAAUCGUGGAUCAGAAUGCCACGGUGAAUACGUUCCCGGGCCUUGUACACACCGCCCGUCACACCAUGGGAGUGGGUUGCAAAAGAAGUAGGUAGCUUAACCUUU